ACCCUUGGAGCAGUCAGUUGUUGACUCCAUUGCAAUAAAGAGCGACUGUUUUGUCCGAUUUCGCCCCAAAUGUCACAGAGAUAUAUGUGCAGAGGUACGACCCUACAUUUCUAUCUACCGGCACGUAAAUGGGCCACUAAAUGGGACUCGGCUCAGACGUGAAUAUGCAAUGGGAUGUUUUGCCCAUUGCAACUAAAGCAAUGCUUCUGAACUUCUCAUAAUCCAAUGUCAAGGAUUUGACGGUACACCAAAAUAGAGCUGAUGCUUUAAGCACCAUCUUCCUGAAUUCUGGACUACAAAACAACACAUUAUGGAUCGAAAACCACGGGGCACUGAUGGUGAAGCAGGUCCUAGCAGGCCAUCACGUGCACAGGCCACAGGAGUAU